CCUACGGGAGGCAGCAGUAGGGAAUUUUGCGCAAUGGGCGAAAGCCUGACGCAGCAACGCCGCGUGAUCGAGACGCCCUUCGGGGUGUAAAGAUCUGUCAGUGGGGACGAAACUUGACGGUACCCACAGAGGAAGCACCGGCUAACUCCGUGCCAGCAGCCGCGGUAAUACGGGGGGUGCAAGCGUUGUCCGGAAUCAUUGGGCGUAAAGAGUUCGUAGGCGGCACGUAAAGUCUGGUGUUAAAGGCAGGGGCGCAACUUCUGUACGGCAGUGGAUACUUGCGAGCUAGAGUGCGGUAGAGGUAAAGGGAAUUCCUGGUGUAGCGGUGAAAUGCUUAGAUAUCAGGAGGAACAUCGGUGGCGUAAGCGCUUUGCUGGGCCAUAAUUGACGCUGAGGAACGAAAGCCAGGGUAGCAAAUGGGAUUAGAUACCCGAGUAGUC
rnacentral:rRNA from 1 species